GAAAUGCGAUAAGUCUUGUGAAUUGCGGAAUUCAGUGAAUCAUCGAAUCUUUGAACGCACCUUGCGCCUUUGUGUAUUCCGAUAGGCGUGCCUGUGUGAGUGUCAUGAAAUGUCAAUCCCCCCGGGUUUUCUGAACCCGAGGUGGACUUGGACAUGGGAUUCUGCCGUCUCGUACGGCUCGCCUUAAAUGACUCAGUGGGAUCUUCAGCAUCCGUGGUAGACGUAAUAAGUUUCGUCUCGUCCCUUGCUGUGAGGACCGCUCAUAACCUGCCAUCGCGCACCACUUUUGACUCUGACCUCAAAUCAGGUAGGACUACCCGCUGAACUUAA
rnacentral:misc_RNA from 1 species